rnacentral:rRNA from 1 species
UACGUAGGGGGCAAGCGUUGUCCGGAUUUAUUGGGCGUAAAGAGCUCGUAGGUGGUUCGGUAAGUCGGGGGUGAAAGCCUGUGGCUUAACCACAGAAUGGCCUUCGAUACUGUUUGGCUUGAGACCGGAAGAGGUUAGUGGAACUGCGAGUGUAGAGGUGAAAUUCGUAGAUAUUCGCAAGAACACCAGUGGCGAAGGCGGCUGACUGGUCCGGUUCUGACGCUGAGGCGCGAAAGCGUGGGGAGCAAACAGG